CCCCAGCGCCACGAGUGGUUAUCACGAUUAUUGGGCCUAAAGCGUUCGUAGCCGGUUUGGUACAUCUCUUGUGAAAUUGUUCAGCUUAACUGAACAGCGUGCAGGAGACACGACCAGACUCGAGACCGGGAGGCGCAAGAAGUAUGCCGUGGGGACUGGUAAAAUGGGAUAAUCCACGGUAGACUACCGAUGGCGAAGGCAUCUUGCGAGAACGGAUCUGACGGUGAGGAACGAAAGCUAGGGGAGCGAACCGG
rnacentral:rRNA from 1 species